rnacentral:rRNA from 1 species
CAAACUGGGAUUAGAUACCCCACUAUGCUUAGCCCUAAACACAGAUAAUUACAUAAACAAAAUUAUUCGCCAGAGUACUACUAGCAACAGCUUAAAACUCAAAGGACUUGGCGGUGCUUUAUAUCCUUCUAGAGGAGCCUGUUCUAUAAUCGAUAAACCCCGAUAAACCUCACCAAUUCUUGCUAAUACAGUCUAUAUACCGCCAUCUUCAGCAAACCCUAAAAAGGAAAAAAAGUAAGCGUAAUUAUGAUACAUAAAAACGUUAGGUCAAGGUGUAACCUAUGAAAUGGGAAGAAAUGGGCUACAUUCUCUACACCAAGAGAAUCAAGCACGAAAGUUAUUAUGAAACCAAUAACCAAAGGAGGAUUUAGCAGUAAACUAAGAAUAGAGUGCUUAGUUGAAUUAGGCCAUGAAGCACGCACACACCGCCCGUCACCCUC